ACAAAAGAGGAGAAGAUCCAAUCAGCGUUUUGGUUUAAUAAGGUGGAAUACCAAGGGACGCAACAGAAAAGAUACAGCACAACCAGGGAAAUAAAGGAAGUAGGAGCACACAGCAAUGAAAGACAUCAUUUAGAGAAGAAAAAAAAACGCUUAACGGUAUUUUGAAUUCAAAGGCUCCUGUUCCAGGUGAACUUGAGAAGCAUCCUUUUCUUUUUUUGGAGCUCUCAGCUUCAGUCAGCUAAUCUUGUGGACUAUUGGAUCCUGGAUGGCAUUUCAAGAGACACCAACAGGGGGCUAGAGGGGGUGUACCAGGCAGAAGAGGGUGGAUGGAAGUUGAAGACAGUUCCUGAGACUGACUGUUCCAUGGCCCCUCAUCUUCUGUCUUCUUAGCCGGAAAAGAACCAUGUAGUCUGAACAUCUUCUGAUAUGGUAAGUUGCUACAGUUUGUCAGUGUAAUGGAGGCCGAAAUGUAAGGGCUAAAGCGGCAGAAUUCAUGCUAGGAUAACGUAUUACAUAUUUUGAUAGCCACGUUUGCUCU
rnacentral:lncRNA from 13 species